rnacentral:lncRNA from 1 species
UUCAUGUUGAACAAGUGAUCGGACUUUUUCUUGAUCGAGCGAUAGGAUGAGUAUUCUUUGGCGAAAACCAAGGAACGAUCAUCAAAACUCCAAAUGGAUCGUGUUGGCAAGGUGUGAAACAAUCUUGCUCCUCACUUGUAAAGUGGUGGCGAAUAUUUUGCACAUAAAGGCAUCAUUGUUUCGAUAAAGGACCAUCGUGCUUCAAUAGUGCUUCAAUAGUGUUUCAAUAGUGCUUCAAGUGCCUAUCCGGAUCUCCAUCUUCUUUGGUGACUACUUCUCUCUGCCCAUCGUGCUGCUUACUCCGAUGAGAUGUGGAGGUUGCUCCUUG